AGAUGAGAGAAACACAUCGCCCACGGGAAACCGCGGGUGAUUCCGGGUCGGGGCUUCCCCAGCACCGUCCCGGGCGUGCCUUCGUGCACGACUCCGGAGCCUCUGGCUCCGGUACUCCUCACCGAUCGGA
rfam:Streptomyces sp. IB2014 011-1 STIB_13, whole genome shotgun sequence.